GUCGGAAUGGACGCUAGACAAGGCGGACAUUCGCGGAGAACUGACUUACCAGUCACAAAGAGAAAAAAAUCAGAAAACAAAACAGAAAACUCAGAAAAUCCACAAAGAAUUCUGAUGGAAUAGAAAAGUUUUUAUCAGGUGUUUAAAAGCUGAAACAGAAGAUACCUACUGAGCUUCUACUGACAGGAGCAAAAUGGACAGCCCCACAGCUUCUUGUGGUUACUGGAAAGCCCAGGUGAUAACAUGGCAAUUCCUGGACAGGAAGCUGAUUCAGCCUGCACUUUUACACUGGGUGAAGACUUCAAGCAUUUGAUACAAGUUAUAGAAAAAGAAAAAAAAAA